UACGUAGGAUCCAAGCGCUAUCCGGAUUUACUGGGCGUAAAGAGUUGCGUAGGUGGCAUAGUAAGUCAGUAGUGAAAUCCUGGGGCUCAACCCCUUCAACAUUAUUGAAACUACUAAGCUAGAGAAUGAGAGAGGUUACUGGAAUUCCAAGUGUAGGAGUGAAAUCCGUAGAUAUUUGGAGGAACACCGAUGGCGUAGGCAGGUAACUGGCUCAUUUCUGACACUAAGGCACGAAAGCGUGGGGAGCAAACGGG
rnacentral:rRNA from 1 species